rnacentral:rRNA from 1 species
AGGAUCAUUACCGAGUCGUCGACAUGGGUUGUUGCUGGUCCUCGAAUCGGGGACAUGUGCACACUCUGUUCACACAUCCACUCACACCUGUGCACCCUCUGUAGUUCUGCGGUCUGGGGGGACGAUGNGUUCCCCCCCUGUGGUUCUACGUCUUUAUACACACACACCGUAGUGAAGUCUUAUGGAAUGUGCGCCGCGUUUAACGCAAUAAAAUACAACUUUCAGCAACGGAUCUCUUGGCUCUCGCAUCGAUGAAGAACGCAGCGAAAUGCGAUAAGUAAUGUGAAUUGCAGAAUUCAGUGAAUCAUCGAAUCUUUGAACGCACCUUGCGCCCCUUGGCUAUUCCGAGGGGCAUGCCUGUUUGAGUAUCAUGAACACCUCAACUCUCACGGUUCGCCGCGAUGAGCUUGGACUUUGGGGGUUUUGCUGGNCUGCAGGUCAGCUCCUCUCAAAUGAAUCAGCUUGCCAGUGUUUGGUGGCGUCACAAGUGUGAUAACUAUCUACGCUUGUGGUCGCCCGCCGGGUAACCUUCAGUGAUGGAGGUUCGCUGGAGCUCAUAGACGUCUCUCCUCAGUGAAGACAACUUUUUGAACGUUCGAUCU